GGGACCGUUUGGAUCACCCCAGCCAGAGUGAGCUGUUCUGCUGCACAGCAGCUGGGUUGUGGCUCAGCAGCACAGCAGUGUGCUCCUGUGGCUUCUAGCAUAGGGCUGUAAAUGCACGUGAUUUCCACCCAUCUGCCUGGGGAGCUGCAGGGAAGCAAUUUGCUGCGUCAGAUUCUGGAUUCAACUUAUAAGGACAGGAAGAGAUAUUGUCACACUGAGACAGGAAGAAGGCGGCUUAGCUUGCUUUCGAGCACAGAGUCAGUUCCAGUCUGUGCUGGGAAUGACAGAUCUCUCCCAGAUGCUGGAGUGUAUCCAGGUGGAAAGUAAGGGGAGGAGAGGCAGCAAGAAGUACAAAGGGACUUACAGUGCCGGAACCAAACAGUGACAAAUCGGCCCCAAUUGGAACAGCUUCAUUACAGCUUUUUCCUGUGGCCUUUGCAGAUAAAUUAGGUCUGGCUCAAAACAAGAUCCAUCAGGAAGAUAGUGUGCAAAAAUGUCUGCCUGCCCUUUGCAAAGGUUGAAGCUCUUCUAACCAAGCCCUCCCAGACACUUGCUCAGAUCAAGCAGAUCCAUCUCUGGAACAGAUGCAGAGUCAACCUCUAUCUCUGAUCAAUGAGCUUUUCAUCCCAGCCUCCAUCUCUGUAAUCAGUGGGAGCACUGUCAAUGAAAGCAGAGCUGGCACUGCAGCAGGAAGAUGGUCCAGCAUUUCCAUGGCUCUCCUGUUAUCUUUCAACCUCAUUUUGCAGCUCCCUUUAACUGCCCCAGGGUGGGCUGACAUUCCCAUCAGCCUCUGACGCUCCCAUCACCAACAAAUCCAUCUGCCCAAGUGCAAACCAUAAACCAAAGAUCUCGUUCCUGGAUGUACAGUUACAAACUGUACCCAUCCGAGAGGAGAUGGCUGUGACCUCCAAAUCCACUCCAUCUGAACUGGAGGCACUGGGGGGUUGGAUUAAAACUUGGUCACCGCAGUCAUGCUCUCAGCCCACUGAAAUCAGCAGUGAUUUCAGCAGAAGGAUCUCCCACCAGUGGGGAUUUUUCACUGAAAUUCUGUAUCUUUACCAUCCCCAAAGUCGCCUUUCUUCUCUCUACACAACAAGGAAAGUAACUGAGGCAGGAGAGCAUUGAUUAGCCUGGGGGAACUUGGGCAUAUUUCGGUGACAAAAAACGGGAAGGGAUCCAACGAUUGGGUCUUGCUUCCCUUUGAUCUGAAAAAUAAUCCUUGCGAGGCCAAGGAGCAUCAUGGGCACAUUGCUACAGAAACAACAGGGAAGCCUGGAGCUGCAGUUCCCACUGAAUAGCAGAGUUAUGCACAAAGGAUUCUCAAACAUUUGCAGAAGAGCAGAGUGAGGAAUCCUCUUUGUUCUGGGCAUGUAACAUUAGAGAACCUGUCAGCUCUCAUUUCACUUGAUGACUUGGGUAAAUCUGUCUUUGUCUUUUUCUGCUUCUCUUUCUUUUAUUGUUUUUCCAAGAAACAGUUGACAUGAAAAAUGAGAAACAAGAAUUGCAUUGUCAGUUAGAAACGCGUACAUGUAAUGAAUUGUAAACUGGUUGACCCUUCCUGGGCACUGAUCCUGAUUUUAACUAGGAGGGGAAGGAAGCACUCAUCUACAGGAGCUGAUAAAUGAAAAGAAAAAGAAGUAAUCAACCAAAUACAAAUUGGACACGGGAUUUUCUUAUUCUAAGCUUACAAUUCUCACAGAGCUGGCUGGAGCCCUAUAACAAGGGUGAGCUGAAAAAUGGUUCCCCCAAAGUACCACUUUCUGUGAGAGCCAGAAACUUGCUGGUUUGCAUUUACAGGUUAUAAUAGAUGCAAAUGUAAAUGAUUGAG